GACGAACGCUGGCGGCGUGCUUAACACAUGCAAGUCGAGCGGUAAGGCCCUUUCGGGGGUACACGAGCGGCGAACGGGUGAGUAACACGUGGGUGACCUGCCCUCAGCUCUGGGAUAAGCCUGGGAAACUGGGUCUAAUACCGGAUAUGACUCCAUGACGCAUGUUGUGGGGUGGAAAGCCUUGUGCGGCUGAGGAUGGGCCCGCGGCCUAUCAGCUUGUUGGUGGGGUGANGGCCUACCAAGGCGACGACGGGUAGCCGGCCUGAGAGGGCGACCGGCCACACUGGGACUGGGACACGGCCCAGACUCCUACGGGAGGCAGCAGUGGGGAAUCUUGCGCAAUGGGCGAAAGCCUGACGCAGCGACGCCGCGUGAGGGAUGACGGCCU
rnacentral:rRNA from 1 species